GCCUUCGUGGUGUAGUGGUCAGACCGCUCGACGCGAAACUGAGAGGUCUGUGGUUCGAUUCCCGGCGAAGGCG
rnacentral:tRNA from 1 species